rnacentral:rRNA from 1 species
UACGGGGGGAGCAAGCGUUGUUCGGAUUUACUGGGCGUAAAGGGCGCGUAGGCGGUCAGCACAAGUCAGUUGUGAAAUCUCCGGGCUUAACCCGGAAAGGUCAAUCGAUACUGCAGGGCUAGAGUGCAGAAGGGGCAACUGGAAUUCUCGGUGUAGCGGUGAAAUGCGUAGAUAUCGAGAGGAACACCUGCGGCGAAGGCAGCUUACUACACAAAUAUUGACGCUGAGGCACGAAAGCGUGGGGAUCAAACAGG